AAAGCGGGUUAUAUCCCAACUACCCGUAUUUUUGUGCAGAAUUUUUUAUACGGGUAUAAAAUACGGGUAGUUGGGAUAUAACCCGCUUGA
rnacentral:pre_miRNA from 1 species